GACGAACGCUGGCGGCGUGCUUAAUACAUGCAAGUGGAGCGACGAACCAGGCUUCGGCCUGGGGCAGAGCCGCGAACGGGUGAGUAACACGUGGGUAACCUGCCUCGAUGACCGGGACAACCCGGGGAACCGGGCUAAUACCGGAUGUGCUGUCCCACCAUCAGUGGAGACAGGAAAGGAAGCUUCGGCCUCCGCAUCGAGAUGGGCCCGGCGGCCCACUUAGCUGUUGGUGUGGUAACGGCUCACCAAGGCUG
rnacentral:rRNA from 1 species